GCCAGUGCCAGUUUUUCUGUUAAUAUUACUGGUCUGCAAACCAUGCUGGCUCAACAGCUGCCUCCCAAACAGCUGAGCCACCUUCACAGUGCAAAUGAAAACUUCCGAGAGAGAGGUGGGGCAGACAGCCGGCGGCAGGAAUCAUUGCAGCCAUCUCCGGCUCCUGCUCAGCCAUGGCAAACAAGCUUUAGAGUUUCAAUCCUAACAGUGGGGCAGACCAGCAAGCGAGCAUGUGACAUCUGAGUGAAAAGGUCUUUGCACCGUGGGAUGGAUGUGUCAUGGGAAGGCGACCUGCUGCUUGAUGCUUGUAAGGGCCCUUCAGGAAAAAGGCAAGCCUGCUACUUCCCCAUACCCAGAAGUGUCCCAGAAGCUAAGCUGAACAUAAAGAGCGGCUCUCUUCCUGCCCAUCCAUAAUCAGCUCCAAGCAGUCAUCACCUGUCCCCCAGAACAUUUCAGAAAUUCCAGAGUACAUAGUGAUAUAAAGCAGCUGAAAUGCAGCAAUGUCCCAUGAAGAAAGAAGCUGCUUGUUGAAACCUACUAUUUCACAUUCAAGUAGGAGGAGGUAUGGUAGAGCACACCACAGCAGAGUCCUGGCAGUGCACAUCAAUAAGGACAAAUGAACUUUUCAGCACUGACUCAAGGCAUUUCAAUGUUGUCUUCCACUGAAGUUUGCUCCACUAACCUUCGUGCCUUGCUGUCUUAACAGUAGUGAUACCAGUUGAGAAGUGAUACUAAGAAACCACUCAGUAUUUGAGAAAUUUACACUUUUCUUUUUGCUGCAUUCCCCAGGAAUUACCAUUUGCCUCACUUUGUGGAUGUCCCCACAGAUGACAUUUAAGCAAGCACUGUUCUGAUUUAUCUUGUCCUCAGGGCAUUUCUAACCUAUGUGGACUAUGUCUGUGGGUAAUGAAAUACAUUGUCACACCACAAAUUAAACACAUUAAAUUAAA